GAUGAACGCUGGCGGCGUGCCUAAUACAUGCAAGUCGAGCGAACAGAUGAGGAGCUUGCUCCUCUGACGUUAGCGGCGGACGGGUGAGUAACACGUGGAUAACCUACCUAUAAGACUGGGAUAACUUCGGGAAACCGGAGCUAAUACCGGAUAAUAUAUUGAACCGCAUGGUUCAAUAGUGAAAGACGGUUUUGCUGUCACUUAUAGAUGGAUCCGCGCCGCAUUAGCUAGUUGGUAAGGUAACGGCUUACCAAGGCAACGAUGCGUAGCCGACCUGAGAGGGUGAUCGGCCACACUGGAACUGAGACACGGUCCAGACUCCUACGGGAGGCAGCAGUAGGGAAUCUUCCGCAAUGGGCGAAAGCUUGACGGAGCAACGCCGCGUGAGUGAUGAAGGUCUUCGGAUCGUAAAACUCUGUUUUUAGGGAAGAACAAAUGUGUAAGUAACUAUGCACGUCUUGACGGUACCUAAUCAGAAAGCCACGGCUAACUACGUG
rnacentral:rRNA from 1 species